UGGGGAAUAUUGGACAAUGGGCGCAAGCCUGAUCCAGCAAUGCCGCGUGAGUGAUGAAGGCCUUAGGGUCGUAAAGCUCUUUUACCAGGGAUGAUAAUGACAGUACCUGGAGAAUAAGCUCCGGCUAACUCCGUGCCAGCAGCCGCGGUAAUACGGAGGGAGCUAGCGUUGUUCGGAAUUACUGGGCGUAAAGCGCGCGUAGGCGGCGAACCAAGUCAGGGGUGAAAUCCCGGGGCUCAACCCCGGAACUGCCUUUGAAACUAGUUUGCUAGAAUCUUGGAGAGGUCAGUGGAAUUCCGAGUGUAGAGGUGAAAUUCGUAGAUAUUCGGAAGAACACCAGUGGCGAAGGCGACUGACUGGACAAGUAUUGACGCUGAGGUGCGAAAGCGUGGGGAGCAAACAGG
rnacentral:rRNA from 1 species